rnacentral:lncRNA from 1 species
GCUUUCCGACCCCAGCCGCGCAGCAGCCUGAUCCCCUCCGGUCUUUCCCCAGUACCGGCGCUGCAGACCUGCGGGCUCCAAGAGCACACCUGCACGCCUGUUAAAAACAACACCGGCGGCGGGAAAGGAAAGGCCGGGGCUGGCUCAGGCUGCCGACAAGGUGGAGAGGGGGUCUCUAUUAUAUUUCUAUAAUAGCUCCAGUGGCAGAAAUAAACCCACCCACGCGUGGAGGCGCCCCAGUGACCCGCCUCCACAACAACAACAACAACAACAACAACAACAACAACAGCAGCGACCGAACACGAUCGGACUCGGACCCGCGAUCCCGGUACCAGCACCGGCGCCACAGCACCGAUCAACGGCCAACUCACGCCAGGUCUUGUCGGCCCGCUGGCACAGGACAGGAGGUGUGGAAAUGAGGGACAAUCGGAGAACAACAGAGGAGAGGAGAGGAGAGGAGGCGACACACACCCGAUCCUUGCGGUUCUC